UAUGGUAUGUGCCAGCCGCCGCGGUAAUACGUAGGUGGCAAGCGUUGUCCGGAAUUAUUGGGCGUCAAGCGCGCGCAGGCGGCUUUCUAAGUCCAUCUUAAAAGUGCGGGGCUUAACCCCGUGAUGGGAUGGAAACUGGAAAGCUGGAGUAUCGGAGAGGAAAGUGGAAUUCCUAGUGUAGCGGUGAAAUGCGUAGAGAUUAGGAAGAACACCGGUGGCGAAGGCGACUUUCUGGACGACAACUGACGCUGAGGCGCGAAAGCGUGGGGAGCAAACAGG
rnacentral:rRNA from 1 species